ACGCACGCUGGCGGCGUGCUUAACACCUGCAAGUCGAACGGAAAGGCCCUGCUUUUGUGGGGUGCUCGAGUGGCGAACGGGUGAGUAACACGUGAGUAACCUGCCCUUGACUUUGGGAUAACUUCAGGAAACUGGGGCUAAUACCGGAUAGGAGCUCCUGCUGCAUGGUGGGGGUUGGAAAGUUUCGGCGGUUGGGGAUGGACUCGCGGCUUAUCAGCUUGUUGGUGGGGUAGUGGCUUACCAAGGCUUUGACGGGUAGCCGGCCUGAGAGGGUGACCGGCGACAUGGGGACGGAGAGAGGGCCAGGAGGCGUACGGGGGGAAGCAGGGGGGAAUAGGGAGAACGGGGGGGAAGGCGGAUGCAGCAACGGUGUGUGAGGGAUGAAGGGUGUGGGGUGGGAAACAGGAGUAGCAUGUGACGAAGGUGGAGUGACGGUAAUGGGUAAAGAAGAACCGGAUAAUCACGUG
rnacentral:rRNA from 1 species